GCGAGUAUGGCGGAAUUUGAAGACGCGCUAGAUUCAGGUUCUAGUGGGUAAUACCGUACAGGAUCAAGUCCUACUACUCGCACCA
rnacentral:tRNA from 1 species